AAGAAGGCCUUCGGGGUGUAANGCACUUUCAGUNGGAGGGAAGGGUUGUAAGUUAAUACCUUGCAGCUGUGACGUUACCUACAGAAAGANGACCGGCUAACUCCGUGCCAGCAGCCGCGGUAAUACGGAGGGUCCAAGCGUUAAUCGGAAUUACUGGGCGUAAAGCGUGCGCAGGCGGUUUGUUAAGCGAGAUGUGAAAGCCCCGGGCUCAACCUGGGAAUUGCAUUUCGAACUGGCAAACUAGAGUCUUGUAGAGGGGGGUAGAAUUCCAGGUGUAGCGGUGAAAUGCGUAGAGAUCUGGAGGAAUACCGGUGGCGAAGGCGGCCCCCUGGACAAAGACUGACGCUCAGGCACGAAAGCGUGGGGAGCAAACAGGAUUAGAUACCCUGGUAGUCCACGCCGUAAACGAUGUCUACUCGGAGUUUGGUGUCUUGAACACUGGGCUCUCAAGCUAACGCAUUAAGUAGACCGCCUGGGGAGUACGGCCGCAAGGUUAAAACUCAAAUGAAUUGACGGGGGCCCGCACAAGCGGUGGAGCAUGUGGUUUAAUUCGAUGCAACGCGAAGAACCUUACCUACUCUUGACAUCCAGAGAAUUCGCUAGAGAUAGCUUAGUGCCUUCGGGAACUCUGAGACAGGUGCUGCAUGGCUGUCGUCAGCUCGUGUUGUGAAAUGUUGGGUUAAGUCCCGCAACGAGC
rnacentral:rRNA from 1 species